GAUGAACGCUGGCGGCGUGCCUAAUACAUGCAAGUCGAGCGAACAGACGAGGAGCUUGCUCCUCUGACGUUAGCGGCGGACGGGUGAGUAACACGUGGAUAACCUACCUAUAAGACUGGGAUAACUUCGGGAAACCGGAGCUAAUACCGGAUAAUAUAUUGAACCGCAUGGUUCAAUAGUGAAAGACGGUUUUGCUGUCACUUAUAGAUGGAUCCGCGCCGCAUUAGCUAGUUGGUAAGGUAACGGCUUACCAAGGCAACGAUGCGUAGCCGACCUGAGAGGGUGAUCGGCCACACUGGAACUUAGACACGGUCCAGACUCCUACGGGAGGCAGCAGUGGGGAAUCUUCCGCAAUGGGCGAAAGCCUGACGGAGCAACGCCGCGUGAGUGAUGAAGGUCUUCGGAUCGUAAAACUCUGUUAUUAGGGAAGAACAAAUGUGUAAGUAACUAUGCACGUCUUGACGGUACCUAAUCAGAAAGCCACGGCUAACUACGUG
rnacentral:rRNA from 1 species